AGGUCACAUGGGAACAUUCACCCCUUUAAAGUAAUAAAGUAACAAAUAUUUCAAUAAUAAAUCACAACCAUCAUAAAAAGGUAUCUCGUUAUCUGCAAUACACAGAAAAAGUUUAUCCAAUUAGUCUCUCCGUGAAGACAACAUUCUUAAGAGGGAACUAGAGCAUUUUUCAUCAAAGGUUAGUGUAAACUUUCUGCUGAAGCACUUCUACAUGUGUCCUGAUUUUGUAAGUUUUAGUUAUCGGAUGAAAAAACUUCUCAUCCAUAUUUUUAUCCAUCUAACAGUUGGUUUGCUGUCCAAUAUGCACCCCCCCCCCCCAAUGGAAAUGAACAAAAAGGCAGAAGGAGAGGGAGAGAGAAUGAUUCGCAGUUUAGUAGCAAAUGAACAAACUUUGGAAUCUUCCGAUUUGGUCUGAUGGUCGGAAGAACUAUCCACUGCUCAAAUUAACCUCAAAGUUUGAAGUGGUGAUUCCAAAUCUGGAAAAAUGGAAAACAGCCUCCCGAAUCUGUUUACCAACCUGACAGUUCACUAGUAUCCAUCACAAUUAACCUUUUUUCCCCUCUUUCUUUAUAAUAAAUUUAUGUUGAUGUCUCAUUAUGUACAAAAAGUUACAGAAAACACAGCACUUAGUGUGGUACUAUCUUAUGUUACGUCAUUGGGUUAUAUAUAUAUUUUGAGGAUGUGUUUCUAGGGCUCUUUGAUAGGUGGAUAGGCCUAGUUACAGGGAAAACUCUAGCAAUAUUUUUGAAAAUUUAGGGAGUUAGCCAAAUUUAGAAACUACUAGUGAGUGUGAAUUAACAGUUGGGACACACUUGAUGCUAAUAACAGAUUUUGACCCUCAUUCGAGGACGAAUGAUCCUAAGUGGGGGGAGAAUAUAAGGCCCCGUAAGAUUUCGCAAAGGAAAAAUAAUGUUUCGUGGUGCCGAACUGGGCUUACGUGUUUGAGGAUUUUAUGCAUUACGCAGGCAGGAUGGUUCUUUGCUAGAGUUCGUUGAUGGUAUGAUAUAAUUAUGUAUUUUAGUCGCUUAUCGCACUCUAAUUCACUAUAAUUUAUUAAUGUUUGAGCUUUAAUUGAAAGUGUUUUGCACUUUUGUGUGUUUUACGCCUUUUAGGAAUGAUUCUGUGCUUUGUAGAUGUUAUGGAAUGAAUUCGAGCUAUUUGGAGCUUUGAAGUAUGAGUAAAAGCCCAAGGGAAUAAGUCGGGAUCGUGUUCGGAGGUUGAGGACCAAGUCUGGAUGUCAAAAAUUGAAGUUUAGUCCGUACUUUGAGAAAUCCCCACUUCCAUGUGUAUGGCCUAGUAAGAUUUCGAAAAGGAAAAAUAAUGUUUCGUGGUGCCGAACUGGGCUUCAAAAUUUAGUCGCCAGCUCGUCGCAAGCUCGCCGUGGCUCGAACUUUUUGGAUUGAACAAUGCACUAGAAAGUAAAGGAAAAAAAUUUUUGGGCAGAAGAAAUGCACUUCUGCGGCCCACUAUGCGGCCGCAGAAUCACUCUGCGGACCGCAUAAUGGUCGCAGAGUGAGACAGUGUUUUGGGCCAUUUUUUAUGUCAUUUUCGUGGCCCAUUAUGCGACUGCAAAACCAUUUCGCGGGCCGCACUCUGAUCACAUAUCCAGUUUUGAGAUUUUUCGGAGGGAGGUUCUACGACGCAUUAUGCGACUGCAGAACAGGUCUACAGACCGCAUAAUGACCGCAAACCGAGUCAGAUUUGCCCAGUUCUGGAGGGCAAUUAUGCGGCCUAUUCUGCAGACCGCAUAAGAAUUAUGCGGUCGCAGGUUGGGUUUUUAUUACCCGACCCUACUUCGAUAAAACAUAAGCCAUAGUCAAAUGUGAGCAAAUUUCUGAUACUUUUAGAGUGAGAAAGAGUGCUUAGUGUGGGGGAGUAACCUUCAACCUAUUAUCCAUCAAUUCUUGCUCAAUCAUUGAUGAUUAACAAAGAAAUUUUUCAUCCUAAAGGUAAGAUUCUUCACCCUUCCCCUUAAUUUCGAAAUUUAUCUAAGAAUGGGUAAUUAGCAAGACAAUUCUUGGGUAUGGGAGUUGUUAUCUUGCAUGCAUGUGUUAUCAAAGAUUGUGGGAAGGUUGUGAGCUAAAAAUGGUAGAGAAUGGGAUGGGGAAUGAUGGAAUUUUUCACAAAAUAGUCAUUGCCAUCAACAGAAUUGAGCUUUUGACAAUGUCCAUUACCUCCCGCAAAUAGAUCUUCAUGUAAGGUUGGUUUCAUUAAUUCGAAAAACUUCAACAAAUACAGUAAUAAUAAAGACACAAUUUAAAACCUUGUAAUAAAAUUAGAUUGAAGAAAAGGAGCAUAAACUCGCAGAACAAAAUUCUUAGUUAGACAAAAUAGACACAACAAAGGAACUGAAUCACAAAUCAGGCACAAAUUAACCAAAAAAGUUAAUGCUUUUACUGCCAAAAGUUUCCUUUUUGGAAUUAAUUUGAUCUACUUAAAAACUGAAAAAAAGCCAAAAACUUUUUAUAAAAGCCUGAACAAUUUUACCCAAAUAAAUAGUAUGUAAAAGCCAACCCCUUUAACUAGAUCAAAGCAACAGUCUUUCAAGAACCACAUAUUAACAGAAAUCAAGAAUGCAUCUCACUAAGCUAAAGCUAUAUCAAAUUGGAAAAAAAAACUUCAAACUAGUCUAU
rnacentral:lncRNA from 1 species